rnacentral:rRNA from 1 species
UACGAAGGGGGCUAGCGUUGCUCGGAAUCACUGGGCGUAAAGGGUGCGUAGGCGGGUCUUUUAAGUCAGGGGUGAAAUCCUGGAGCUCAACUCCAGAACUGCCUUUGAUACUGAAGAUCUUGAGUUCGGGAGAGGUGAGUGGAACUGCGAGUGUAGAGGUGAAAUUCGUAGAUAUUCGCAAGAACACCAGUGGCGAAGGCGGCUCACUGGCCCGAUACUGACGCUGAGGCACGAAAGCGUGGGGAGCAAACGGGAUUAGAUG